GCUUUAAUGGCUAGGUCGGCUUGGUACCCUGCUUUCGGCUGGGAGGGAUCCGUAAGGCCAUGUGGCUCCACUGCCAAUGUGUAGAUGUGGAAACUGAAGCCCAGAGAGGGUAUGGAACUUGUCCAAGGUCACACAGCUGGUUAAUGGCUUGGAAACUACUGGAGGAUGUGGUGCACCAGAAUAAGAGAAUAAACCAAGAAACAGGAAGACGUGAUCCAGGCAACAGGAUAUUCCAGUAUAGUGUUGGAAACAGAAGCCCAGUAGUGAAAGCUACAGCUGCCAUAUACUUGCAGUGGAAUCACAGGAGCAAUCACA
rnacentral:lncRNA from 10 species